CUUGGUAUCCCAGAUGGGUUUCUUUUUAAUCAAAUAAAUGUAAACAUGACAUACAAUGGCUACAAUGAUUUCUUAACUGAAAGAGAUUUUCCUUGAAUUUAUUACGAAACAUGAUCAUUUGAAAAGAAAGAUCAAUGUUUGAUACCAUUAACUGUCUGACAGAACUUUAUAUGAGUACAAUCAAAUGUAUUUUGAAUUUCUUACAAUAGAAUGGCAUAUUUCUGAACGAGUUCAAAUACAAAGUUAGCAAUUCUUACACAAGAGCAUGUAGUUUUAAACACUUAACAAGCACAUGCAUGUAAAACAAACCAUUAAAAUAAAGUAUUGAUAUCUAAUGGAUGUCUUUUGAACCUAUGUCGGUUUCAAAAAUGAUCGUGAUAGUGUAACAAAUUCAAGGGAAAUAAGUCAUACCUCCUUUCCCUCCAAACCACCAAAAAACAAUCGUGAUGUUUGCAUAUUCAUAAUAUAUACAUUUUACGCAUUUAUCUAUAAAAUUCUUUUUGUUAUUUUAUGAGCCCUAUAAAAGCUAAACUUGAACUUCAUCAUUAAUUUUUCCGAAAUUUUAGCCAAAGAAAUCUGAUUAUUUUCAAAAAUGAAGAGCAGCUUUCUCUAUAAUACAAAUAUAGUUUUUGAAAAUUAAAGUUCCAUUUUUGAGGCUACUUACACAUUUAAGUCAAUAGUCGAUUCCGAAAGUGAUUGGUAAUUUUUUAAGAAAGUUUCGAAUUUGUUUUCUCAUAAUCGGUUUAUACGACUUUUGAAUAACGGUAUUCUGCUGUUGCUUUUAUUCAGCAUUGUCCAGAAUUUAACAAUCAAAGUGGUGUCAUAGCUAUAUAACAAUGCACCUGGAAAUGCUAUAAAAAAAACGAUAGCUUGUCUAUGUAUUUUUCGAACAACACAUCAUGUAAGCCUUCGUAACUAGCAACAUUGAGUUACAGAGGGAAGGGGUCGGGAAAACGAACAACAGUAUUUCGAUUUUCAGAUAUAUCAAUUCGAAAGUCUUUUUUGGGUUUAAGGAUGAAAAAUAAAACGGUGACUGAAUACAAAAAUACAAGCCAGUCGUUCAGUCAUCAAAUUUGAAUGUAAUCCCAACACGUAUUUGCAAGAUCAAACCAAAAUGAAAGUGCUGUUAAAAUGCGAAUACACUGUGCAUAAAUUAAUAAUAAAAAGAUCCCAUUUCCAGCAUUCUUUUCAGAGAGGUUAGAUGUCUCCCUAUAAUCACCAUUUGAAACGGUUUAUUACAUAUGGUACAGAAAAAAAUAUCAUUUCAAUAUCCGAAGAUCAAUACCGAAAUCUGAUAUUGACCGUUAUCAAUAUUGUUUUCUACCACACAUAGUAGUUGUGCAAUUUGUUCAUCCGGCUUUUUAAAAAUUAUAGGACAAUCAGGAGGAAUAAACUAGAACUAGAGAUAAGUGAAUGAUAUAGCAAAAAAACAACAUCACAAGAACAUCUAUUUGAGAAAAUAAAACAGUAAAUAUGUAUGUAGACAAAGCACAAUCUUUCAAUAACUAUUUAAAACUGAUACAUUGUAUUGUUAACCUUUAGAACCGCUAGGUGUUGGCUUGCCUAAAUAUAAUUAGAAUGAAGUUAUAAAAAAGACUCACAAGAAUACAUCUUUCACUAUUUUAAAAUUCUUGCCUUUUACAUUUUAUAAAAAA
rnacentral:lncRNA from 1 species